rnacentral:lncRNA from 1 species
UGAGCCUCAGCUUUUGCUUCUGUAGAAUAGGGUGUACUCAUCGUACAUUUCAUGGGAAUACCUAACGCAGUCAUUUGGAUGGUCCUGUGAGGUAGAAAACAUUGUCCAACGUUCUACGCGAGGAAAUGUGGCUGGGCCACAGGACUGGACUCCCCAGUCCCGCUUUUGCCUGAAGACUUCGAGGGACGCAGUUGGAGCGCAAGGCUCCUGCUUGGCGGCAACAGCACCUGGGCAGACCAUGCCAUUUCCCCUCCUGAACUCGGG